GGAGACAUAGCUCAAAUGGUAGAGUAUGGGACUCACAUUCCCAAGACUCCUGGUCCAAGCCCUGGUGCUGCA
rnacentral:tRNA from 1 species